rnacentral:lncRNA from 1 species
GGAACGUAAGCACACUUUGCUGUAGACAAAAUUUUACAGAUAGAUGAGAAAGGAUUUUUCAUAUAUAUGUAAUGGUUUGGAAAUGUUUAUUCCAUAUAGGCAGAGCAUCUGUUAGUACCUUCUAUCCCUCGGGAAGAUUUCUGAAAGACUACAAUGAAUAAAGUGGAGAAAGUUGGAAAUUUAUGGAAACCCCAAAAGAAUUCCAAGAAUGAUGAAAAUUACUUUGUAAAGCUCUGUACUGGAUUGGAUCUCAUAAUAGACUUCAUUUUAAGGGAGAGAGAGAGAAAGAAGAACAUCAAGAUGUGUCCUCUACAUUUGUCUACAUAACCCAUCCCAUCCUUGUGGCUGCUGGUGACCCAGGAAUGGGUAUGUUCGUGCAUGGGUGAGGAAAAUGAGGUCCAAAGAAAAUAGAUAAC